rnacentral:rRNA from 1 species
ACGCUGGCGGCAGGCUUAACACAUGCAAGUCGAACGGUAGCAGGAGAAAGCUUGCUUUCUUGCUGACGAGUGGCGGACGGGUGAGUAAUGCUUGGGAAUCUGGCUUAUGGAGGGGGAUAACUACGGGAAACUGUAGCUAAUACCGCGUAGUGUCGAGAGACGAAAGUGCGGGACCGCAAGGCCGCAUGCCAUGAGAUGAGCCCAAGUGGGAUUAGGUAGUUGGUGGGGUAAAGGCCUACCAAGCCUGCGAUCUCUAGCUGGUCUGAGAGGAUGGCCAGCCACACUGGAACUGAGACACGGUCCAGACUCCUACGGGAGGCAGCAGUGGGGAAUAUUGCGCAAUGGGGGGAGCCCUGACGCAGCCAUGCCGCGUGAAUGAAGAAGGCCUUCGGGUUGUAAAGUUCUUUCGGUAUUGAGGAAGGUUGAUGUGUUAAUAGUACAUCAAAUUGACGUUAAAUACAGAAGAAGCACCGGCUAACUCCGUGCCAGCAGCCGCGGUAAUACGGAGGGUGCGAGCGUUAAUCGGAAUAACUGGGCGUAAAGGGCACGCAGGCGGUUAUUUAAGUGAGGUGUGAAAGCCCCGGGCUUAACCUGGGAAUUGCAUUUCAGACUGGGUAACUAGAGUACUUUAGGGAGGGGUAGAAUUCCACGUGUAGCGGUGAAAUGCGUAGAGAUGUGGAGGAAUACCGAAGGCGAAGGCAGCCCCUUGGGAAUGUACUGACGCUCAUGUGCGAAAGCGUGGGGAGCAAACAGGAUUAGAUACCCUGGUAGUCCACGCUGUAAACGCUGUCGAUUUGGGGAUUGGGCUUAAAGCUUGGUGCCCGUAGCUAACGUGAUAAAUCGACCGCCUGGGGAGUACGGCCGCAAGGUUAAAACUCAAAUGAAUUGACGGGGGCCCGCACAAGCGGUGGAGCAUGUG